rnacentral:rRNA from 1 species
GAUGAACGCUGGCGGCGUGCCUAAUACAUGCAAGUCGAGCGAACAGACGAGGAGCUUGCUCCUCUGACGUUAGCGGCGGACGGGUGAGUAACACGUGGAUAACCUACCUAUAAGACUGGGAUAACUUCGGGAAACCGGAGCUAAUACCGGAUAAUAUAUUGAACCGCAUGGUUCAAUAGUGAAAGACGGUUUUGCUGUCACUUAUAGAUGGAUCCGCGCCGCAUUAGCUAGUUGGUAAGGUAACGGCUUACCAAGGCAACGAUGCGUAGCCGACCUGAGAGGGUGAUCGGCCACACUGGAACUGAGACACGGUCCAGACUCCUACGGGAGGCAGCAGUAGGAUUCUUCCGCAAUGGGCGAAAGCCUGACGGAGCAACGCCGCGUGAGUGAUGAAGGUCUUCGGAUCGUAAAACUCUGUUAUUAGGGAAGAACAAAUGUGUAAGUAACUAUGCACGUCUUGACGGUACCUAAUCAGAAAGCCACGGCUAACUACGUG